rnacentral:rRNA from 1 species
GGGGGGGGGGGGGGGGGGGGGGGGGGGGGGGGGGGGGGGGGGGGGGGGGGGGGGGGGGGGGGGGGGGGGGGGGCGGGUGGCGGAGGGGGGGGUGAGGCCGGGGGAGCUACGUGUUCGGGGGGGGGAGCGUAGGGAGGCUUACCCGCGUACCUCAUCCUCCCUCCGGGUGGUACCCGGGGAGCCUCGGCCCUUGCCCUCUCGCAGGGCCCGAGGUCGGAUUAGCUCGGUGGCGUGCUAAAGGCCCACCAAGGCGAGGAUCCGUAGCUGGUCUGAGAGGAUGAUGAGACACACUGGAACUGAGACACGGGCCAGACGCCUACGGGAGGCAGCAGUGGGGAAUAUUGGACAAUGGGCGCAAGCCUGAUACAGCCAUACCGCGUGGGUGAAGAAGGCCUUCGGUUUGUAAAGCCCUUGUGUUGGGAAAGAAAAGAAGCAGGUUAAUACCCCGCUGUUCUGACGGUACCCAAAGAAUAAGCACCGGCUAACUUCGUG